rnacentral:rRNA from 1 species
AUUGAACGCUGGCGGCAGGCCUAACACAUGCAAGUCGAGCGGAUGAAGGGAGCUUGCUCCUGGAUUCAGCGGCGGACGGGUGAGUAAUGCCUAGGAAUCUGCCUGGUAGUGGGGGAUAACGUCCGGAAACGGGCGCUAAUACCGCAUACGUCCUGAGGGAGCAAGUGGGGGAUCUUCGGACCUCACGCUAUCAGAUGAGCCUAGGUCGGAUUAGCUAGUUGGUGGGGUAGAGGCCUACCAAGGCGACGAUCCGUAACUGGUCGGCGAGGAUGGUCAGUCGCCCGGGAGCGUGGCCGCGGACCAUGCGCCUGCGGGACGCACCAGUGUGCAACAUUGGGCAGCGGGCGGAAGUCUUGCACAGUCGGCGCACGUCUGUUAAGAAGGUGCUCCGAGCGUAAUGCACGCUAUGGGGUGGUGAAGCGCAGUAGCCUAAGACCUUGCUGUUGUGACGUUACCGACAGAAUAAGCACCGGCUAACUUCGUG